rnacentral:rRNA from 1 species
UACGUAGGGUGCGAGCGUUGUCCGGAUUUAUUGGGCGUAAAGAGCUCGUAGGCGGUUUGUCGCGUCGGCCGUGAAAUCUCCACGCUUAACGUGGAGCGUGCGGUCGAUACGGGCAGACUUGAGUUCGGUAGGGGAGACUGGAAUUCCUGGUGUAGCGGUGAAAUGCGUAGAUAUCGAGAGGAACACCUGCGGCGAAGGCGGCGCCCUGGUCCGUUACUGACGCUGAGACGCGAAAGCGCGGGGAGCGAACGGG